rnacentral:misc_RNA from 1 species
ACACCUCAACUCUCAUGGCUUGCCCGUGAUGAGCUUGGACUCUGGGGGAUUUGCUGGCCUGUGGGUCGGCUCCCCUCAAAUGAAUCAGCUUGCCAGUGUUUGGUGGCAUCACAGGUGUGAUAACUAUCUACGCUUGUGGUUCGCCGCCAGGUAACCUUCAGCAAAUGGAGGUUCUCUGGGGCUUACAAAAGUCUCUCCUCGGUGAGGACAGCUCUUUGAAC